GGAGGAAGAAAGGAAGGAUGCCUAAAUGGAGGUGUAGGAAAAGGCUCAGGGAAAUGGCAGCAAUGUUUAAGACUUUGGCUGCUGAUUAGAAGGUCCUUGAGCUGCAACCCAGAGGGUGGGCCUGGUUCCCCUCCCAGCCACUGAGAAACUGGUAGUCAGGGCAGUGAGGGAGAAGACUGACACUUUUGGAUGAAGAUACUUUGAUAACCCCUGGAAGGAGAAAACGCACAGUGAGCUGGCUGGAGGGCCAAGCCACAAAGAGAGAUCACUCUGAGUCAGAGAGAGAGAGGUGUAUGAACGCGCAACAAAAGAGCGUGUUGGACUGAGGAGGAGCUAAUCCCCUGAAUAGCCAGGAGGAGACGCCAUAGCGGUGUGAUGGACUCAGGAGGAAGGCUCGAAACCAAAAUGGUGCUAGACAACCCCAGAAGAAAGUCAAUAUCCUGGCUGCAUCUACCAAGCAUUACUUCCCAGUUCAAGUCUAACUGUUCUUGCUGGGUAAGUCCAGUGAAGGUUCGAUUCUGGAUCCAGAUGAGUGCCUGAGUCUUUGUCAGCUGUCUGCAUGUAAAUGAGGAUGGGAGAAGGAAAGCUAAACAGCAAUUUUGGGGAGAAGAGCAGUGCACUUGCAUGCAGAAGACAACAGGAAUGAGAAGGAGCAGAAGUAGCAAUGUACUUUUAAAAUGUAUC